rnacentral:rRNA from 1 species
UAGUGGCGAACGGGUGAGUAAUACGUGAGUAACCUGCCCUUGACUCUGGGAUAAGCCUGGGAAACUGGGUCUAAUACUGGAUACUACCNNNNACCGCAUGGUGGGUGGUGGAAAGGGUUUUACUGGUUUUGGAUGGGCUCACGGCCUAUCAGCUUGUUGGUGGGGUAAUGGCUCACCAAGGCGACGACGGGUAGCCGGCCUGAGAGGGUGACCGGCCACACUGGGACUGAGACACGGCCCAGACUCCUACGGGAGGCAGCAGUGGGGAAUAUUGCACAAUGGGCGGAAGCCUGAUGCAGCGACGCCGCGUGAGGGAUGACGGCCUUCGGGUUGUAAACCUCUUUCAGUAGGGAAGAAGCGAGAGUGACGGUACCUGCAGAAGAAGCGCCGGCUAACUACGUGCCAGCAGCCGCGGUAAUACGUAGGGCGCAAGCGUUGUCCGGAAUUAUUGGGCGUAAAGAGCUCGUAGGCGGUUUGUCGCGUCUGCUGUGAAAGCCCGGGGCUCAACCCCGGGUCUGCAGUGGGUACGGGCAGACUAGAGUGCAGUAGGGGAGACUGGAAUUCCUGGUGUAGCGGUGAAAUGCGCAGAUAUCAGGAGGAACACCGAUGGCGAAGGCAGGUCUCUGGGCUGUUACUGACGCUGAGGAGCGAAAGCAUGGGGAGCGAACAGGAUUAGAUACCCUGGUAGUCCAUGCCGUAAACGUUGGGCACUAGGUGUGGGGGACAUUCCACGUUUUCCGCGCCGUANCUAACGCAUUAAGUGCCCCGCCUGGGGAGUACGGCCGCAAGGGUAAAACUCAAAGGAAUUGACGGGGGCCC